UUCCGCUGGACGAGGCAUGUACCUCGUCCAGCGGAAGGAAACCCUUCCGAUGGACCCAGCGGAAGGGUUUCCUUCCGCUGGACGAGGUACAUGUACCUCGUCCAAGCGGAA
rnacentral:miRNA from 1 species